rnacentral:misc_RNA from 1 species
GAUGAAGAACGUAGCGAAAUGCGAUACUUGGUGUGAAUUGCAGAAUCCCGUGAACCAUCGAGUCUUUGAACGCAAGUUGCGCCCGAAGCCAUUAGGCCGAGGGCACGCCUGCCUGGGCAUCACACGUCGUUGCCCCCCCAUCUACUCCUUCGGGAUUGCGGGGGGCGGAUGAUGGCCUCCCGUGCGCCUCGCCGCGCGGUUGGCAUAAAUGCCAAGUCCUCGGCGACGCACGCCACGACAAUCGGUGGUUGCGAAACCUCGGUUGCCCGUCGUGUGCGGUCGUCGCGCAUCGAGGGCUCGAAAAAAUUGCCGGGUUCCGGCUCGGCUUUCAACGCGACCCCAGGUCAGGCGGGGUUACCCGCUGAAUUUAAGCAUAUCAAUAAGCGGAGGA